AUGAAUAUAGGUCAGCAGCUACAAAAGUAGAGGAGACAACUAUCAAAACUGUCUUAGCUGAGCAAUUCCUGCGGGGAUCCUAGGUUUACAUAUCUCAGCUGUAUCAGUAGGAAGAAGAGCAGUAGCUGCCUGUCUCAUGGGAGAUGAGUGAUUUCACAUGUACCUUUCAUGGUGCUUUGAACAGUUACACCAUCCAUUUAACCAAUUAGCAGAAUCAGCUAUCAAGGCAAGGGACAAUGGACAUUCUUCCGUGCUUGUCGGUAGGAUGUUCCCCAGCCAAGUGCUCAUCCCUCAUGGUGUGGGCAUCCCCUGUAUCACACACUGGGGAAUGAAGGAGCCUCAGCAGUCCCGCAUCUACCCCAAAGCCUUUCCAG
ensembl:lncRNA